rnacentral:sRNA from 1 species
UAUAAAUGCAGGUAGAAAUACGCUGUAUACUCGUGUAAGCGAAUUUGCGUUUAAGCGACAUGCAAUGUCGUCGCUCACGAGGGGCCGCCCACGGGCGGCUUUUUUAU